rnacentral:rRNA from 1 species
ACGUAGGAGGCGAGCGUUAUCCGGAUUUACUGGGCGUAAAGAGCGCGCAGGCGGUCGUUCAAGUCGCGUGUGAAAGCCCCCGGCUCAACUGGGGAGGGUCACGCGAUACUGAUCGACUCGAAGGCAGGAGAGGGUAGUGGAAUUCCCGGUGUAGCGGUGAAAUGCGUAGAUAUCGGAAGGAACAUCAGUGGCGAAAGCGACUUCCUGGACCAAUACUGACGCUCAUGUGCGAAAGCGUGGGGAGCAAACAGGA